rnacentral:rRNA from 1 species
UACGGAGGGUGCGAGCGUUGUCCGGAAUCAUUGGGCGUAAAGAGCGUGUAGGCGGUCCGGUAAGUCGGCUGUGAAAGUCCAGGGCUCAACCCUGGGAUGCCGGUCGAUACUGCCGGACUAGAGUUCGGAAGAGGCGAGUGGAAUUCCCGGUGUAGCGGUGAAAUGCGCAGAUAUCGGGAGGAACACCUAUGGCGAAGGCAGCUCGCUGGGACGUUACUGACGCUGAGACGCGAAAGCGUGGGGAGCAAACAGG